UACGAAGGGGGCUAGCGUUGCUCGGAAUCACUGGGCGUAAAGCGCACGUAGGCGGUUUGCUAAGUCAGGGGUGAAAUCCUGGAGCUCAACUCCAGAACUGCCUUUGAUACUGGCGGACUUGAGUCCGGGAGAGGUGAGUGGAACUGCGAGUGUAGAGGUGAAAUUCGUAGAUAUUCGCAAGAACACCAGUGGCGAAGGCGGCUCACUGGCCCGGUACUGACGCUGAGGUGCGAAAGCUAGGGGAGCAAACGGG
rnacentral:rRNA from 1 species